CCACCCACUUCUCAAGUUGCCCUCCAGCCGAGAGAAUUCGGCAGCCGCUGAAGCUGCCCUCCAGCCAAGACCUAUCUUCCUCUGCCACUCUCAAUCCUCGCAGGUACUAAUCUAAUCAAGUUGAUAUUUUUUUUUUUGCAACCCCCGUUUGAUUCCCAAGAAAAUCCAUCCCCCAUUUGAUUUCCGGGAAAAUUCAUUCUCGUUUGAUUUCCGAGAAAAUCCAUUCAAACCCCCAAAGAAAACCAAAAAAUUUGCUUUUCUUUUGCUCCCUGUGUUUUCUGGAUAUGUUUUAAGGGUCUCUUUGUUGUUGUGCCAUUGGAUUUAAAUUUCACGAACCCUAAAUCCACGAUUUUUGAGCCAGAUUUUGUAUCCUGUGCGCGGGCUGGACUGGUAGGAAAAUAUCGGGAAAUUUUCCGAUAAAUCGGUAUUUCGCCGAUAUUUCGCCGAUAUAUCGGAGAUUUUGCCGAUUUUUCCGUCGAUCGAUAAUCGGUGACGAUUAUCGUUUCGGCGCCGUCCGAUAUCCGAUAUUUCUUCGAAAUAUCGGCGACAUUUUCCGAUUUUUCAAUCCCUGGUCAC
rnacentral:lncRNA from 1 species